UACGAAGGGGGCUAGCGUUGCUCGGAAUCACUGGGCGUAAAGGGCGCGUAGGCGCCAUUCAAGUCGGAGGUGAAAGCCCCGGGCUCAACCUGGGAAUUGCAUUCGAGACUGCAUGGCUAGGAUGCGGAAGAGGGAAGCGGAAUUUCCGGUGUAGCGGUGAAAUGCGUAGAUAUCGGAAGGAACACCCGUGGCGAAGGCGGCUCUCUGGGACGGUACUGACGCUGAGACGCGAAAAGCGUGGGGAGCGAACAGG
rnacentral:rRNA from 1 species